rnacentral:rRNA from 1 species
ACUACGGCAUCCCUAGUACGGCGAGUGAAGAGGGAAGAGCCCAAGAUUGAAAGCUGGCACCUUCGGCGUCCGCAUUGUAAUCUCAAGAAGUGUUUUCCGCUUCGGACCAUGCCUAAGUCCCUUGGAAAAGGGCAUCAUAGAGGGUGAUAAUCCCGUAUAUGGCAUGGAGCGCCCGAGGCUUUGUGAUACACUUUCUAAGAGUCGAGUUGUUUGGGAAUGCAGCUCAAAAUGGGUGGUAAAUGCCAUCUAAGGCUAAAUAUUGGGGAGAGACCGAUAGCGAACAAGUACAGUGAUGGAAAGAUGAAAAGAACUUUGAAAAGAGAGUUAAAAAGUACGUGAAAUUGCCAAAAGGGAAGGGUAGGAGGUCAGAGAUGCGUCUUGGGAUUCAGCCUUGCUUUUGCUUGGUGUUUUUCCCAAGUUUGCAGGCCAACGUCGGUUUUGGGCACUGGAGAAGGGUAGGAGGAAUGUGGCACCCCUCGGGGUGUGUUAUAGCCUCCUACUGGAUACAGCGACCGAGACCGAGGACAGCAGCGUACUCGCAAGAGCGGGCCUUCGGGCACCUUACGCUAGGCGUGCUAGCUGAC